rnacentral:lncRNA from 1 species
AGCCUGAGCACACGAUGAGCUGGUGGCUAGGUUCUUGGCUGCCUGGCCUCCUUUACAUCCUACUAUUUUUUUCAGCCCAGCCCAGCUCUAUUGACUUCCUGCUGAUUUGGGAAGAUGGAGUCUCUCUCUGUCACCCAGGCUGGACUACAAUAGUGCUAUCUCGGUUCACUGUGACCUCCACCUCCCAGGUUCAAGCAAUUCUCCUGCCUCAGCCUCCUGAGUAGCUGGGAUUACAGAGUCCCUCUCAUGACACGUGGAAAUUAUGGAAACUACAAUUCAAGAUGAGACUUUGGUGGGGACACAGCCAAACCAUAUCAAUACCUGUUAUAUACUAGGCAUUCAAUAAAAAGUUUCUCAAUUAAUAAAUGAAUGAAUAAGUAAAUCUAAAGACCAAAGCACUGUUCUUUUCUUCUAAAACAUUUGCCUGAUCACCUCAGGACAGUAACACUCCAUAUUGAACACUGGAAGUAGUUAAAUAACUUACUCUUUUUUGCUUUAAGUGUUCUCUAGUCUAGUGAAGGAGAUGGGGUUCAUUUCAGGGUCUAUAAAAAUGGCUAGAGAAUGGGGAAUUUUGGUUGAGGACUUAGGGUAUGUCAUAACUGAAUGUUGGCAAUGAGAUUGGAUAAAACAGGUAUUGACCAGCUAUGAAAGUCAAUGAAUGAUCAUUUUUAUUUAAAAAUUUAUAAAAUAUUUUCUACAGAGAGAAGAAGAAUAUUGCCUAAAGAUUUUAAAGACAAUAGAAGAACUAGAUCUGAGAAGAAAGAGGACACAGAGCUCAGGUGUACCAUAAUGAAAUGAGGGUGCCAUAGCAGAGUUUGCAGCCAGAGUCAAAGACAGCUGAAACUGAAGGAAUUCUUCACUGACCUUGCUGUCAUUGCUCUCCUUUGUAGUACAAAUUUUCUUGUCAUACUCAAGUUUCAUUUGCAUCAGUCUCUUUAAAUCUGACUCAUUUUCUGUUCACUGCUAGCAUGAUGCUAUAGCCUGUCUGAAAGUAUCUAAUCAGAGGGUGGAAGCAUGGAAAAGACAGUCUCUCUCCCCCUAUUGUCCUGCCGGCAUCCCUCAAGGGCCACAUUGCUGCCUA